rnacentral:rRNA from 17 species
GAUGAACGCUGGCGGCGUGCCUAAUACAUGCAAGUCGAGCGAACAGACGAGGAGCUUGCUCCUCUGACGUUAGCGGCGGACGGGUGAGUAACACGUGGAUAACCUACCUAUAAGACUGGGAUAACUUCGGGAAACCGGAGCUAAUACCGGAUAAUAUAUUGAACCGCAUGGUUCAAUAGUGAAAGACGGUUUUGCUGUCACUUAUAGAUGGAUCCGCGCCGCAUUAGCUAGUUGGUAAGGUAACGGCUUACCAAGGCAACGAUGCGUAGCCGACCUGAGAGGGUGAUCGGCCACACUGGAACUGAGACACGGUCCAGACUCCUACGGGAGGCAGCAGUAGGGAAUCUUCCGCAAUGGGCGAAAGCCUGACGGAGCAACGCCGCGUGAGUGAUGAAGGUCUUCGGAUCGUAAAACUCUGUUAUUAGGGAAGAACAAAUGUGUAAGUAACUAUGCACGUCUUGACGGUACCUAAUCAGAAAGCCACGGCUAACUACGUGCCAGCAGCCGCGGUAAUACGUAGGUGGCAAGCGUUAUCCGGAAUUAUUGGGCGUAAAGCGCGCGUAGGCGGUUUUUUAAGUCUGAUGUGAAAGCCCACGGCUCAACCGUGGAGGGUCAUUGGAAACUGGAAAACUUGAGUGCAGAAGAGGAAAGUGGAAUUCCAUGUGUAGCGGUGAAAUGCGCAGAGAUAUGGAGGAACACCAGUGGCGAAGGCGACUUUCUGGUCUGUAACUGACGCUGAUGUGCGAAAGCGUGGGGAUCAAACAGGAUUAGAUACCCUGGUAGUCCACGCCGUAAACGAUGAGUGCUAAGUGUUAGGGGGUUUCCGCCCCUUAGUGCUGCAGCUAACGCAUUAAGCACUCCGCCUGGGGAGUACGACCGCAAGGUUGAAACUCAAAG